rnacentral:rRNA from 1 species
GACGAACGCUGGCGGCGUGCCUAAUACAUGCAAGUCGAACGCUUUUUCUUUCACCGGAGCUUGCUCCAUCGAAAGAAAAAGAGUGGCGAACGGGUGAGUAACACGUGGGUAACCUGCCCAUCAGAAGGGGAUAACACUUGGAAACAGGUGCUAAUACCGUAUAACACUAUUUUCCGCAUGGAAGAAAGUUGAAAGGCGCUUUUGCGUCACUGAUGGAUGGACCCGCGGUGCAUUAGCUAGUUGGUGAGGUAACGGCUCACCAAGGCAACGAUGCAUAGCCGACCUGAGAGGGUGAUCGGCCACACUGGGACUGAGACACGGCCCAGACUCCUACGGGAGGCAGCAGUAGGGAAUCUUCCGCAAUGGACGAAAGUCUGACGGAGCAACGCCGCGUGAGUGAAGAAGGUUUUCGGAUCGUAAAACUCUGUUGUUAGAGAAGAACAAGGAUGAGAGUAACUGCUCGUCCCUUGACGGUAUCUAACCAGAAAGUCAUGGCUAACUACGUGCCAGCCGCCGCGGUAA